GCUGGCGGCGUGGCUAAGACAUGCAAGUCGCACGGUGUAGCAAUACACAGUGGCGAACGGGUGAGUAAUGAAUCGCUAAUGUGCCCCGGACUCUGAGAUAGCUACCCGAAAGGGUAGGUAACAUCAGAUGAUAUAUCCGCUCCGCAUGGAGUGGAUCUCAAAGGUCCGCCGGUCUGGGAGCAGGCGAUUUCGUAUCAGCUUGUUGGUGAGGUAACGGCUCACCAAGGCGACGACGCGUAGCCGGACUGAGAGGUUGGCCGGCCACAUUGGGACUGAGACACUGCCCAGACUCCUACGGGGGGCUGCAGUAACGAAUCUUCCGCAAUGCACGAAAGUGUGACGGAGCGACGCCGCGUGUAGGACGAAGCCCUUCGGGGUGUAAACUACUGUCAGGGGAAAGAAAGUUCUGAUCUACCCCAGAGGAAGGGACGGCUAACUCUGUGCCAGCAGCCGCGGUAAGACAGAGGUCCCGAGCGUUAGGCGGAAUCACUGGGCUUAAAGCGUGUGUAGGCGGAUGCCUAAGUACCUUGUGAAAUCCCACGGCUCACCCGUGGAACUGCUUGGUAUACUGGUGUCUUGAGCCACUUAGGGGCUACCGGAACAAAUGGUGGGAGCGGUGAAAUGCGUAG
rnacentral:rRNA from 1 species